rnacentral:lncRNA from 1 species
AUGUGUUACGUGGUGAAUCCAUUGGUCACUCUUGUGGUGAAUCCUGGAUUCAUAUCCUUUCACUUUCUCUGGAGUUCAGGGUCCUUUUUCACUUCUGUUGAAUAUUCAUUGCAGAAUAUGGUUUCAACUCCCAAGCUAGUUAAUAUUGCUUCAUUUGAGACUGCAAAAAAUGUCAUUGGAAAUAAACAGUGGAUAUACAUGGACAUUAAUUGUCACAACUAACCAACUUCAAGGCCUAUCCACAGCACUAUCCCAAUGAAGAUGUCAUUUAUGCAGUGCUCAAGCCUUCGUGCUGUGCCUUUGUGCACCUUUG